rnacentral:rRNA from 2 species
AGAGUUUGAUCCUGGCUCAGAACGAACGCUGGCGGCGUGCUUAACACAUGCAAGUCGAACGUGAUCCRGAGCUUGCUCYGGUGAAAGUGGCGCACGGGUGAGUAACGCGUGGAUAACCUGCCCUGGUAUCUGGGAUAACAUCUCGAAAGGGGUGCUAAUACCGGAUAAGCCYACGGRYUCYUMGGAGUCUGYGGGAAAAGGAGGCCUCUAUUUAYAAGCUUCCGUAUCAKGAUGGGUCCGCGUACCAUUAGCUAGUUGGUGGGGUAAUGGCCUACCAAGGCGACGAUGGUUAGCUGGUCUGAGAGGAUGAUCAGCCACACUGGAACUGAGACACGGUCCAGACUCCUACGGGAGGCAGCAGUGGGGAAUUUUGCGCAAUGGGGGAAACCCUGACGCAGCAACGCCGCGUGAGUGAUGAAGGCUUUCGGGUCGUAAAGCUCUGUCAGAGGGGAAGAAAUGAAACGUGCUAAUAUCACGUUUUCUUGACGGUACCCUCAAAGGAAGCACCGGCUAACUCCGUGCCAGCAGCCGCGGUAAUAC